CCUCAGCGACGUCACCGAUCACCUGCCCCCCACAGCUGCAACGCCGGAUGUGACGCAAUGCCUUUUUGACUGGGGUUGGUUCCAACGGUUACAUUUUGGCAAAGUUUUGCUAGAUUACGGGGUUGUGUCUUAUUCUUCAAUAAUCUGCAUUUCGUGACAAUUCAGAUUAACAAGAGUUAGGGUGAAAGUGUAUCGUAUUAAUAUGAAAAAGCGCAGAGAACUGUGGCAAUUGAGAACUGUAGAAUAUCACGGGUAUUGUUGUAGCUAUCGUGCCUGGUGUUGUCCGGAGAUGGUGACCGCUCUUUUAUCCUCAACACUUUUGCUGGCGAAGGAAUAUUGAACUCUCCGCUCAUGAAUGCGGUUUUCUCUACAUUAGGAGAGCAAAUACAGCUUGGGCGGUAUAAAAUCAUUCAUUCUGAAGGCAUUUCUGUGACCAAAACACAGUUUGAGGACAAAUGCACAAGUAAUAUCAAGAUGUACGGAAAGAGACUUUUUUAACUUACAAGAAGAAAGAGAGAAGCAAAAGUGAACAUGUGUCCAGCCUCCUCCUCAAAGGGGUCAAUAACACAGGAACCAGGAAAUGGCAGAGGAUUUGAAUAAGUACUUUGCUUCAAUGUUCCGUGUUAAGAAUGUUUGGACAAGUGGAACACACCUCUGGGCGAGGUAGGACUUGUAUGCAGACCUGCUGAUUUAGACAAAAUAACUCUACCACUACACCACAAGAAUCCUUCAAUCUAUUUAUAUUCAGGUCAUCACCAGUAGGAGUGAUGUAUCCAGCCAUAAGUGAAAAGUUGUUUGCUGUGGAUGCCUUGAUAAGAAGGUAAAGAGGAUGUAGGAGCAGCAAGUCACCCGGGAGGCCAAGGAGAACCCAUCUCGGGCAAAUGUCACAGCAGCAAGCCCCUAAGGAUACAUCGGAGCCAUGGGAGGACCAGUGCUUUGCACCACAAACUCUAUUUCCCGGGGAUGAGUGAGCCGAGGUAAGAUUUACCUUUGAAGAAAGCUAUUCAAAUCAUGCCGGAAGAAGAAACGAGAAAGAUUCAGUCAGAUUCUGAGAAGAGAAGAUCGACUACCUUGGGAAAGCAAGAUUGUGGGCCCUCUGAAGGGGCAGUUGUUAAGACAACACAAAGAGUAAGCCAAGAAGCAGAUGCUUAGAUCAAUGUCACCACUGUUGGACAAAAGGCCUCACAAGCAUAGACCAUAACAAAAAAAAUGCUAUUGUUGUAAAAUGUUCAGUUUCUGAAGAAGGGUCUGGACCCGAAACGUCAGCUUUCCUGCUCCUCUGAUGCUGCUUGGCCUGUUGUGUUCAUCAGCUCUACACCUUGUUAUUGUAAAACUGCAGAUCACUUUCAGAACGCGUGCAGAUGUAAGGAACAAUUAGAAUGGUAGAAGUACUGGUGGUCACAUGUGCAAGAAUGUCUACAUAGUAGAAAACCCACUACCAUUAAUAAAGGUAUCUACAUUAGAUUAUAAAUUUACAUUAGAAAAGAUACCAGAGUCAUUUCUAGAGAGAAAUUACUGUUUUAAACCAAUGAUUCAACCAACUCAACUUUCGUAGAGAUUGUUUAUGUCAAUAGACAUCUUGUUAAUUUUAAGCUUCAUGUAGGAACAACUGCCACCCUCCUGUCAUAUGAACUAUCUGGAGAAACUGAGGUUGAAUCCUACAAAGAUUAAACUAUAUUGUCUAGGUGAAACGAUUCCUAAGAUUAAAGGUAGGCUGCAUGUAAUACUGCAACAUACAGUGUAUGAGCAUUGAAAAUGCGUAUGUAGUUCACUAUCAUCACUCCUCACUUUUGAGUCCAGCAUGCCUUGGCCUCAACAUCCUUGCAAUAACAAUAAUUCAACUCAAGUCAAAAGAACAAACCAUUGUUGGGGAAGUAGUACAGGGCAAACUAAUAGAAAAUUUUAUUGGACUUCCUUGACUUAAAGCAGAACCCAAACAGAAGAAAGAAUCUAUUGAGAUGACAUAUGAGGGCAUGAGAGAACAGCUCCCCAUUGCCAACAGGAAAUAAAUUGCAGAGAUACUCCAGCCUAUGUCUUCUAAAGCAGAACAGUCAAUGUGAGUGACAAAGAUUGUGCUGAGUGAGCAGCAGUCUCCCAGUACAGAAGUCUGUAGAGGUGAAAACGUUUAAUUCACCAGGCAAGCAAUGAUAGAAGGCAAUCAAAAACACUCAACCUAAUCAACAAGUUGAAGUGAAAAGCUCAUAUAUUUCAAGUGAGGUGUAUCAGCACAUUGAGAGUAAAAAUUUGUUUGAACAAAGUAGAAAUGAGCUGAACAGAACUCCAUGGAAUCUAGACCAUUAUCUAUAGAUUCAGGACAUGGUCAAAAAGAAGAAAUUGCCUGGUCUGAAUCCACGACACUGCAAAAAAAUGAGCACCUGUUCUAAUUAAAAUAUAUAUUACAAGACUUAGAAAUGCAGACUACAGCAAGGAGGAAGUACUUGUUCUAACAAAGUAAUUGUCUCUCUUCAUGGAGAUUCAUGAGGUCAAUGAUCCCAUAGAUAUUGUUAUGGGACAACUAUCUGAAUUAGCAUAGGUGAGUUCGUUUGCAACAGAAAUCCAGGAGGUUAAGAAUUCUUCAGAUAAAGUAUGAACUAGUGACCACGUCGACUAGGAACAACAUCCUCCAUGAUGGAUAUCUGAGAGAUAACAGAUCCACCAAUGGAGAAAUGAUCCUCAGAGGAAAUCAAAGUCAAUUGUUCUCAAACAGAAGGUCUCCACCAUUGGGAAUGAAUAACCCAAACCAGAAUACUACAUGCUGGCAGGUGGUGUCUGAGAAUAUGUCACAUACUGUUGCCAUUAUAAUAGUGACAUAGGUAUAAAAACCACUAUCACUAUCUAAGAAAAUGUAAAGUUUUAGAUGAGAUAUGUUGACUGAAUUUUAAAAUUGUUAAAUAUUUCAUUAUUUCAGUGAUGACAAGGUGUAGAGCUGGA